rnacentral:rRNA from 1 species
CAUGAACGCUGGCGGCAGGCUUAACACAUGCAAGUCGAGCGCCCAGCGAGGGGAGCGGCCGACGGGGGAGUAACGGGUGGGGAUCUACACAGCACUACGGCGUAUCGCAGGGAAACGCGUGCUGAUACCGUUUAUGUCCUCCGGGAGAACGAUUGAUCGGGGAUGGAUGAGCCCGCGUUGGAUUAGAUAGUUGGGGGGGUAAAGGCGUACCAGGGCGAGGAUCCAUAGCUGGUCGGAGAGGAGGAGCAGCCACACUGGGACGGGGACACGGCCCAGACUCCUACGGGAGGCAGCAGUGGGGAAUAUUGGACAAUGGGGGCAAGCCUGAUCCAGCCAUGCCGCGUGAGUGAUGAAGGCCCGAGGGUUGUAAAGCUCUUUCACCGGUGAAGAUAAUGACGGUAACCGGAGAAGAAGCCCCGGCUAACUUCGUGCCAGCCGCCGCCGUAAAAC